GGUGACCAAUAAAAUUCUGAACCUCAAGCUACAUUUCAACUACUUUCACUAAAAUCAAGCUAACUUGUAUAACCUCAUAAGAAUCAUCAAUCCAAAACACUACACAAAAUGGGUUGCAAGAUAAAUUCAUUUCCUCCAAGCAUCUCAAAAAUAUUCACCAAAACACCCAAACUAACUUCAAUCCAAACAAAGCAAAAAUCCUUUCCCAUAGUUUCCUCCUCUCUUAGUCAAAACCAUGAAGAACCAAUUACUACUACAACACAAACUCAAGCAUCUCCAAAAACUAGUAUUUACAAUGUAAAUUUCAUUACUCAAAACUCCUGCAAACUUGGGAUUUCAAUAUUUCCUGAUUUUGUAUACAAUGCUGAAGGCGGUAUAGGAGUUGGAAUGGGUACUAAAAAUGAAACAAACAGUUCAAAUGAAGUUUCAAUUAAUUUUGAUAUUCAGACACUUUAUAUUCCACCAUUAAAUUCUAAGACUACCACGUUCUUAGGAUUGCCAUUGCCACCUUUUCUGAAGAUUGAAAUUUCUCCAGAGCUUUUUCAAGGCAUAAUCGAUGAAGAAACCGGAAAGGUUAAUCUUGAAUUCAAGGCCAAGUUUUGGUUUUCGGUUGGCAGUGUUUAUAAAGCUCCUCCGUUGAUAGUUUGGACGGUAUUGACGUCUGAGGAAUCAGUGGGAACUAUGAGAAAAGGAAGAGGAGAAAGAUUGAGUAAAGAAGGGAAAUGCAGGUUAGUUGGAGUUGCGACUGUCCAACCUAUCGAUGAUAUUUUCAUGAAUACGUUUCUCGGUCUUCCUACUGAAUGUCUUGCCGAUAUGAAUGCUACCAUCGCCAUUUCGAGUUCUUAGUUGCAAGUUGAAAGCCUCGAGCUUCAUUACUUUAGACUGUAAACAUCUUCUUACACAAUGGAGCCUAGCAUUUUGUUCGACACACUGGAAUUCGUAAACGGAAUUAAUGGAGAUUGUAUAUCCAUUGUAGUCGAAAAAAUCAUAAAAGAUAAUCCCCAGAUUGUUUCAUUGUAUGUUUUGCUUAAGAUGCAUUCAAAUGAAAUCACAUAUAUUCAACAAUGGUUUUCUA